rnacentral:rRNA from 1 species
GGAAAAGAAACUAACAAGGAUUCCCCUAGUAACGGCGAGUGAAGCGGGAAGAGCUCAAAUUUGUAAUCUGGCGGCCUUUGGCCGUCCGAGUUGUAGUCUCGAGAAGCGUUUUCUGCGUCGGACCGUGUACAAGUCCCUUGGAACAGGGCGUCGUAGAGGGUGAGAAUCCCGUCUUUGACACGGACUGCCGGUGCUUUGUGAUGCGCUCUCAAAGAGUCGAGUUGUUUGGGAAUGCAGCUCAAAACGGGUGGUAAAUUCCAUCUAAAGCUAAAUAUUGGCGAAAGACCGAUAGCGAACAAGUACCGUGAGGGAAAGAUGAAAAGCACUUUGGAAAGAGAGUUAAACAGUACGUGAAAUUGCUGAAAGGGAAACGCUUGAAGUCAGUCGCGUCUCUCGGGACUCAGCCGUGCCCUAUCGGGCGCGGUGUACUUCCCGGGUGUGACGGGCCAGCAUCGAUUUUGGCCGUCGGAGAAAGGCCUUGGGAAUGUGGCACCUUCGGGUGUGUUAUAGCCCUGGGUCGCAUGCGACGGUCGGGAUCGAGGACCGCAGCACGUUUCUCCUUCCUUUACGGGAAUGGGGCUCGGGGUUCGCCCACGCAAACGUUGCUUAGGAUGCUUGGCGUAAUGGCUUUAAGCGACCCGUCUUG